GUUUACCUUUGUGGAAGAGGGAGACGUCGGAGAACCUGACGCAGUCUUUUCAUACGCCGGUAAACAAACCCCGAGAAGCCCAAUCCCUACGAGAGCUCCACGCGCUACGGCCAACCGGAUGCGCAGAGCCUUUGGCCGUGAUAUUAUUAUACAAAUUAUAUUAUAUACUAAGAGCUCCGGGAGUCGCAAACGGCACGGGGAACAUAGGACCCUUUUCACUGCUAGUGAGCUCUAGCAGUAAACUGAAGUGCUCACUAGUAGCAGCACAGAAAUAUAGUAGAAUAUUACGACAGUCUUACCUGUA